AAGGCUUUAAGUUAAUAUCAAACUAGUAUCCUUCAAAGCUAAAAAUAAAGAGCGUUCUUUAAGCCUUA
rnacentral:tRNA from 1 species